rnacentral:rRNA from 1 species
AUGAACGCUAGCGACAGGCUUAACACAUGCAAGUCGAGGGGCAGCACAGGUAGCAAUACCGGGUGGCGACCGGCGCACGGGUGAGUAACGCGUAUGCAACUUACCUAUCAGAGGGGGAUAACCCGGCGAAAGUCGGACUAAUACCGCAUGAAGCAGGGGCCCCGCAUGGGGAUAUUUGCUAAAGAUUCAUCGCUGAUAGAUAGGCAUGCGUUCCAUUAGGCAGUUGGCGGGGUAACGGCCCACCAAGCCGACGAUGGAUAGGGGUUCUGAGAGGAAGGUCCCCCACAUUGGUACUGAGACACGGACCAAACUCCUACGGGAGGCAGCAGUGAGGAAUAUUGGUCAAUGGCCGAGAGGCUGAACCAGCCAAGUCGCGUGAGGGAUGAAGGUUCUAUGGAUCGUAAACCUCUUUUAUAAGGGAAUAAAGUGCGGGACGUGUCCCGUUUUGUAUGUACCUUAUGAAUAAGGAUCGGCUAACUCCGUGCCAGCAGCCGCGGUAAUACGGAGGAUCCGAGCGUUAUCCGGAUUUAUUGGGUUUAAGGGGUGCGUAGGCGGCCUUUUAAGUCAGCGGUGAAAGUCUGUGGCUCAACCAUAGAAUUGCCGUUGAAACUGGGGGGCUUGAGUAUGUUUGAGGCAGGCGGAAUGCGUGGUGUAGCGGUGAAAUGCAUAGAUAUCACGCAGAACCCCGAUUGCGAAGGCAGCCUGCCAAGCCAUGACUGACGCUGAUGCACGAAAGCGUGGGGAUCAAACAGGAUUAGAUACCCUGGUAGUCCACGCAGUAAACGAUGAUCACUAGCUGUUUGCGAUACACUGUAAGCGGCACAGCGAAAGCGUUAAGUGAUCCACCUGGGGAGUACGCCGGCAACGGUGAAACUCAAAGGAAUUGACGGGGGCCCGCACAAGCGGAGGAACAUGUGGUUUAAUUCGAUGAUACGCGAGGAACCUUACCCGGGUUUGAACGCAUUCGGACCGAGGUGGAAACACCUUUUCUAGCAAUAGCCGUUUGCGAGGUGCUGCAUGGUUGUCGUCAGCUCGUGCCGUGAGGUGUCGGCUUAAGUGCCAUAACGAGCGCAACCCUUGCCACUAGUUACUAACAGGUAAAGCUGAGGACUCUGGUGGGACUGCCAGCGUAAGCUGCGAGGAAGGCGGGGAUGACGUCAAAUCAGCACGGCCCUUACAUCCGGGGCGACACACGUGUUACAAUGGCGUGGACAAAGGGAAGCCACCUGGCGACAGGGAGCGAAUCCCCAAACCACGUCUCAGUUCGGAUCGGAGUCUGCAACCCGACUCCGUGAAGCUGGAUUCGCUAGUAAUCGCGCAUCAGCCAUGGCGCGGUGAAUACGUUCCCGGGCCUUGUACACACCGCCCGUCAAGCCAUGGGAGCCGGGGGUACCUGAAGUCCGUAACCGCGAGGAUCGGCCUAGGGUAAAACUGGUGACUGGGGCU